GACAGAGGAUGCAAGCGUUAUCCGGAAUGAUUGGGCGUAAAGCGUCUGUAGGUGGCUUUUUAAGUCCGCCGUCAAAUCCCAGGGCUCAACCCUGGACAGGCGGUGGAAACUACCAAGCUGGAGUACGGUAGGGGCAGAGGGAAUUUCCGGUGGAGCGGUGAAAUGCGCAGAUAUCGGGGAAGAACACCCGUGGCGAAGGCGGCUCUCUGGGACGGUACUGACGCUGAGACGCGAAAGCGUGGGGAGCGAACAGG
rnacentral:rRNA from 1 species